rnacentral:rRNA from 1 species
UAGUGGCAGACGGGUGAGUAAUGUAUAGGAAUCUACCUAGUAGUACGGAAUAAUUGUUGGAAACGGCAACUAAUACCGUAUACGCCCUACGGGGGAAAGAUUUAUUGCUAUUAGAUGAGCCUAUAUUAGAUUAGCUAGUUGGUAAGGUAAUGGCCUACCAAGGCAAUGAUCUAUAGCUGAUCUGAGAGGAUGAUCAGCCACACUGGAACUGAGAUACGGUCCAGACUCCUACGGGAGGCAGCAGUGGGGAAUAUUGGACAAUGGGCGGAAGCCUGAUCCAGCCAUGCCGCAUAAGUGAAGAAGGCCUUUGGGUUGUAAAGCUCUUUUAGUGAGGAAGAUAAUGACGGUACUCACAGAAGAAGUCCUGGCUAACUCCGUGCCAGCAGCCGCGGUAAUACGGAGAGGGCUAGCGUUAUUCGGAAUUAUUGGGCGUAAAGAGCGCGUAGGCUGGUUAGUAAGUUAAAAGUGAAAUCCCAAGGCUUAACUUUGGAAUUGCUUUUAAAACUGCUAAUCUAGAGAUUGAAAGAGGAUAGAGGAAUUCCUAGUGUAGAGGUGAAAUUCGUAAAUAUUAGGAGGAACACCAGUGGCGAAGGCGUCUAUCUGGUUCAAAUCUGACGCUGAGGCGCGAAGGCGUGGGGAGCAAACAGGAUUAGAUACCCUGGUAGUCCACGCUGUAA